UACAGAGGUCUCAAGCGUUGUUCGGAUUCAUUGGGCGUAAAGGGUGCGUAGGCGGCGCGGUAAGUCGGGUGUGAAAUCUCGGAGCUUAACUCCGAAACUGCAUUCGAUACUGCCGUGCUUGAGGACUGGAGAGGAGACUGGAAUUUACGGUGUAGCGGUGAAAUGCGUAGAUAUCGAGAGGAACACCUGCGGCGAAGGCGGGUUGCUGGGCUGACACUGACGCUGAUGCGCGAAGCCAGGGAGCGAAGCGGG
rnacentral:rRNA from 1 species